CAGGUACUGGAUAAACAGAGAAGAAGAAGGGACAGGUACUGAAUAAACAGAGAAGGGGAAAGGGACAGGUACUGAAUAAACAGAGAAGGAGGAGGGACAGGUACUGGAUAAACAGAGAAGGAGGAGGGACAGGUACUGGAUAAACAGAGAAGGGGAAAGGGACAGGUACUGGAUAAACAGAGAAGGAGGAGGGACAGGUACUGGAUAAACAGAGAAGGAGAAGGAGAAGAGACAGGUACUGGAUAAGGGACAGAUAUGGGGAUAAUAUUGUGGUUUGGCACAGGGAUAUCCAUGGGGGGGGGGGACUACUUCUACAAG
ensembl:lncRNA